rnacentral:rRNA from 1 species
AUGCUCACAUUAGUCCCGGUUCGUAAUGCAACCGGGAUUAAUGCUCUUUUCUGGCCAUGGAAUCUACUGCCGGAGGAUCUGGAAAAGAAGGUCUCUUACAUCUUUAAGGCGGCCACUUCUAUCCACUUGGGGGACGGCAAGAGGGCUUAAUUCUGGACGGACAAGUGGCUACCAGGAGGGAACUGCAUACAGGAUGUGGCUCCUGCCUUAUUCUCUUUUGUGAAGGACUCGGAAAAAUCUGUCAAGGACGCUCUGUGCAACAGCAAUUGGAUUAGGGAUAUCUCUGGAGGCAUUUCGGUACAUGCUAUGGCUCAAUAUCUUAAAAUUUGGGACAUUGCGCGAAGUACUUCAUUGUCGGUGGAAGCUACAGAUAGACUGGUUUGGAAGUGGACUGGAGAUCACAAAUUCUCUGUUAGUAGUGCGUAUGGUUUGUUCUUUGCAGAUGAUAGCUUUGGUACUACGGAGGACUGGUGGCUGAAUACGAGGAAGGAAGUCCCCAAGACGGAACGACGUAAUUUUGACACUAUCGCAAUCCUGCUACACUAA